rnacentral:lncRNA from 1 species
GCUCGCUGUUCCGAGAGCGACGGGCUGUCGUGGUCUUUGUGCGGCAUUUCCUGUGUUACAUCUGCAAGGAAUACGUAGAAGAUCUGGCCAAAAUCCCCAAGAGUUUCUUACAAGAAGCAAACGUCACUCUUAUAGUGAUUGGACAGUCAUCCUACCAUCAUAUUGAGCCUUUCUGCAAACUAACUGGGUAUUCUCACGAAAUCUAUGUUGAUCCUGAGAGAGAAAUUUAUAAAAGAUUGGGAAUGAAAAGAGGUGAAGAAAUUGCCUCUUCAGGAAAGAGCCCUCAUAUAAAAUCAAACAUACUCUCAGGAAGCAUUCGGAGCCUGUGGCGGGCAGUGACUGGCCCUCUUUUUGAUUUUCAAGGAGACCCAGCUCAGCAAGGUGGAACAGUCAUUUUAGGUCCAGGUAACAAUAUCCAUUUUAUACAUCGUGAUAGGAAUAGGUUGGAUCACAAACCCAUCAACUCUGUUUUACAGCUCGUAGGCGUUCAGCAUGUGGACUUUUCAAGCCGACCUUCAGUUAUCCACGUGUGACAUUACAGACUCUGUUGCUUUCAAAUGGACCUUGGGAUGUGACCCAAAAUAUCGGAACGUAAUAAUAUCCUUGUGCCGUGUUUAACUUGUUGACUCUUCCCAGCCUUUGAGGAGUUAUGAAAACAUAGAAAGAUCAUGUACCCACCAGCUGAGUAGCAUGCUGAGAGGCAUCAGUUGUCAAAAUUGUGCUAUCCAUUUAUAAUUUUAUAACUUUGAAAGGCUUGUUUUAUAAAAACAUUUUUGUAAAAAAAUGAAUUUUUUUUUCUUGGCCACAGCAUGCAGUGACUUGAUUUAGGAUCUCUGUUCUCAGACCAGGGAUUGAACCUGUGCCACAGUGGUGAAAGUGCUGAGUCCUAAUCACCAGGGAACUCCAAAAAAAUUAAAUUUCAUUUAUGCAAAAUAAAACGUUAAAAACUAUAAAAUUGUAGCAGUUUCCUGGUAGCUCAGCAGGUUAAGGAUGGGGCAUUGUCACUGCUGUGGCAUGGGUUCAAUCCCUGGCAGGAACUUCCACGUGCCAUGGAUGUGGUCAAAAAAAAAAAGCUAUAAAAUUAUAUAUACCAUUUUUUAUUUUAUAUUAUGGUAUAUCCAUUCAAUGAACAUUUUUUGGCCAUUAAAAAUCAUAAAUUCUUUUUUUUUUUUUUUUUUGUCUUUUCGCUAUUUUUGGGGCCGCUCCUGUGGCAUAUGGAGGUUCCCACACCAGGGGUCCAAUUGGAGCUGUAGCCACCGGCCUACACCAGAGCCACAGCGAUCAGAGCCGCGUCUGCAACCUACACCACAGCUCAUGGCAACGCCAGAUCCUCAUGGGUUAAGGAUCUGGCAUUUCUGUGAUGUAGGCCAGCAGCUGUAGCUCUGAUUAGACCCCUAGCCUGGGAACCUCCACAUGCUGUGGGUGUGGCCCUAAAAAGCAAAAAAUAAAAGAAGAAAAGACAGGAAGUAAAUCUACCAGAAUAUCACCAUUAGGUAUCUCUAGGUGGUAAGAUUACAAGUUUUUUUUAUUAUAUUUUCCAUACUUUUCUAUAUUUCCCAACUAUUCUGUAAUGAACAUGAUUCAUUUUUUUUUUUGGCCAGGAAAAGGACUUUAAAAAUUAAACCAAGAGGUGUUCCUGGCUGUGGCACAGCAGUUAAGGAUCUGGAAUUGUCUCUGUGGUGGCACAGGUUCGAUCCCUGGCCCAGCACCCUUGGUUAAGGAUCUGGCAGUGCUGCAGGUGCAGCAUAGGUUGAAACUGCGGCUCAGAUUUGAUCCCUGGCCCAGGAACUUCGAUAUGCUGUGGGUGCAACCAAAAAAAUUAAAUGAAGAAAAUAUUCCUACAUAGCAAGCUCCACAAAGGUGCAAUUAUUUAUCUAGGCACAGUCCACGGGUUUCUAUCCUAAUCACUUUCCUUGGAGGAAAUACAGCAGAUUGAACCUUUAUAGAGCCUGUGUUCAUAGCACCUUGACCGCAGACCCACUAUCAUUUCACUGGGAUUUUGUUGAGAGGGUGGGUUACUGGUAAAAAGAAACAUAUGUUUUAGAUAUUUAAGAUACCUAUUUAAAAUAUGAUUACUGGAGUUGCUGUCAUGGCUCAUCAGAAAGGAAUCUGACUAGUAUCCAUGAGGAUGCAGGUUCUAUCCAUGGUCUUGCUCUAUGGGUUAAGGAUCUGGGGUUGCCGUGAGCUGUGGUGUAGGUUGCAGAUGCAGCUCAGAUCUGGGGUUGCUGUGACUGUGGUGUAAGCCAGCAGCUACAACUCCAAUCGACCCCUAGACUGGGAGCCUCCAUAUGCCGCAGUGGCAGCCCUAAAAAGACAAAAAAUUUUAAAAAUAAAAUAAGAUUACUAUGCUUUUUUUUGAAAGAAAAUUUUAAGAAUUGUUUAAACUAAAGAAAAAAAACAACUUUGUAAUUUAAAUGUACACUGCGGUUUGGUUGUGGACAGCUUCUAUUUCUCAGCCCCAAAGUGCUUUUAAUUUAGUAGGCUAUUGUCAUCUUUUAUUUUUCUAGAGUUUUAAUAUGUUUAGUUGGGACAUAUCCCAGAAAUUCUAAUGAAAAGUACAGCAAGCUUGAAGUGUUAGUAAUUUUUAACAAGUAUAAUUCUGUUUUGAACGUCUAAUACUUUAAUAUCAAGCAUAUGGAGUCAGACACAAAAAUAUACAUUUAAAAUGUCCAAAUAUUUGAAUAUAAUUGCAUGUGUAUAUAUAUAUAUAUGAAAAAUCAUGUUUUUA